rnacentral:rRNA from 1 species
GCCACAGGUGCUGCAUGGCUGUCGUCAGCUCGUGCCGUGAGGUGUCGGGUUAAGUCCCAUAACGAGCGUAACCCCUGUUGCUAGUUAGUUUCUCUAGCGAGACUGCCCCGGCAAAACGGGGAGGAAGGCGGGGAUGACGUCAAGUCAGCAUGGCCCUUAUGUUCUGGGCCACACACACGCUACAAUGGUUGGUACAACAGGUUGCAAUGGAGCGAUCCGGAGCUAAUCCUUAAAACCAAUCUCAGUUCGGAUUGCAGGCUGCAAUUCGCCUGCAUGAAGCCGGAGUUGCUAGUAACUGCGUAUCAGCCAUGGCGCAGUGAAUACGUUCUCGGGCCUU